CACAUUUCAUACAGGACAUUACAUUUCAUCUAGAGUUAAAUAAAAUGGCAGUCCAACCACCUCUGUACCAGCUAUAUCCUUUCAAGCUCUCAGCAGCUCAAACCAGCAUGGAUGCACUGGUGGCAGCAUUGUGGUACAGACUCUUCCCUGGACAGUAUUUUGGACCAUGCCACAGGCUUGAUCAAAUCUUUGCCAGGCUGUCCUGCCAGCCAGAACUGGCAACCCUGCGACUAUGUCCCUACUACUUUGACCAGGUCACUUACAGUCUUCCUCACAGAGACGAAGUGAAACACAAGGAGAGCUACAACCUGAGGCUGCGCUGCUUCGACUCAUGGGUGGGCUUAAAACAAGAACACCAGAGGACUAUUGAGAAGCAUGGAGGACGGCAUUUAAGGCCUACCCAAGAAGCAUGGUUCAGCACUGGCAUCUAUUUAAGUCGACUUUGUCAGCUCCAAGAUCUAACUACUCGCAGGAGUAUAUCCACAGAACAGUACAUUCAACUGAUGUAUGGCGACCACUGCUAACUGCCAUCCACCUUAG